UACGUAGGGUGCAAGCGUUGUCCGGAAUUAUUGGGCGUAAAGAGCUCGUAGGCGGUUUGUCGCGUCUGCUGUGAAAACGCGGGGCUCAACUCCGCGCCUGCAGUGGGUACGGGCAGACUAGAGUGCAGUAGGGGAGACUGGAAUUCCUGGUGUAGCGGUGGAAUGCGCAGAUAUCAGGAGGAACACCGGUGGGCGAAGGCGGGUCUCUGGGCUGUAACUGACGCUGGAGGAGCGAAAGCGUGGGGAGCGAUCCGG
rnacentral:rRNA from 1 species